UUUCAUUUGGACUCGAAUCGGUAAAAGCUGUAGGUUUCCAACUUUCGAUGCAUUUUGGUUAGAUGUGGGCCCACGUGUCACUGUAAAAGAAAUUUUAUGCUUUGGUUAUUUGCUUUAUAGUAUAUAUAAAUAUAAUUAACUUUUACGCUAUAAGAAUUAUGUACCGAUAGUUUUAUGAAAAUUAUUUUAUAAGAAAAUAGUUUAUUUUAUUGAAUAUUUUUAUUAUAUUCAAAU
rnacentral:lncRNA from 1 species